GUACAAUUUUAUUACAGUGUUCUGUUACUUACAGUCCUUUUAAGAUUCUGACUUUUCAAAUAUAUGCUAUUAUGUUUUGUUUGUCAGUGAGAAAAAGCUAAAUUCUACUGGCGCCAGAGAACUGCUUCAGGUCGGCAGGGAACCAUAAAGGGGAUUCGUGAAGUUGUUGGCCAAGAACUUCCGAGAGAUCGGGGUUGUUUUGAAGCUCUGAGGGCGCGGGCGUGUCCCUCACUCCUCUUGCUAUUCUGAGAAAUGUGUUCCCCGAAUUCUAUCCGGAAACAAAAGGCUGAGGCACUCUUUCCCUGGGGCUUCUGGGAAGUGUAGUUCCGGAGCUCAGUGUAGUCAGAGGCACUUCCGCCCUUGGGAAGCGAGACUGCCACCAUCUUUUCGGUCCGGGAGGAAGCAUCGAGCCCCGCGUCAGUGCCUGGAGAUGUUCGCUGAAGUUUAUCCGGGAGACAGAUACAGCCGGGCUGUCCCACCGCAUCCUUCUCGUUCCACUCCUGAAUUCGGAGAGGGGAAGAAGGAGGGAAUUCUUGGCUUCUCACAGCCUAGCCUCAGCUGCAAGAGAAAGGGACUCCUGGUUUUUUGAACUUUCCGUCUGCUCAUUCACUCCUUGGAACAGCCCUAUGAGUUAUGCCUUCUCAGGACUCUGCCCUUCCGCACAGGGAGCGGGAGGAAGUGACUGAGUUUCAGGUGAGUGAGGCAUGGCUUUCCAUCCCCUAACGUGGGACUUUGCUUCUCAGAGUUGAGGCACGUCUUUUUUCUCUGCCUUGGAAAGGUGAAUGGAACACAGCAGAUCUGGAGAGCCUGUUGUCUGCCUGACUGUGUGCAUGUGCAUGUGUAUGUUUGUUUUUAUCGUCUUUAUUAUUUCACAAAGCAAUCUUUGAAAAAAAAUAGAGAAAUCUGAAGUCGGCAAAAAUAAUUCACAGUACAGCCCUGCUCACAAACUAGCUCUUUUCGCUUUCCUAUAUUCUUUUUUCACAUGCGUUCACAGUUGCAUAUUUGCAUUAUUAGAGUCAAUGGGAUAUACUUACAAACAUUAGAUAAAGGCUUACUGUCUCUAAUUCUUAUUAAAAUUAGUGAGAUAAAGUAAGACCCAAUUGGAAUAUGAGUGAAAGAAGUGAAUGAGAGUGUCAUAAAAAAGGAAAGUAGAUUCAUGAGGAAAAUACUGAUCAUUAAUACCUAAAUGUGUGCAAACGUUAAUAAAAGCUCUCUGUUUUUUUAUCUCACUUAGAUUGUUGAAGAUUUCUUUAAAAAGGGAGGUGUGUCUUAUUUGGCCAGUAUAGAGAUUC
rnacentral:lncRNA from 1 species